rnacentral:rRNA from 1 species
UACAGAGGGUGCGAGCGUUAAUCGGAAUUACUGGGCGUAAAGGGCUCGUAGGUGGCCAACUAAGUCAGACGUGAAAUCCCCCGGCUUAACCUGGGAACUGCGUCUGAUACUGGAAGGCUCGAGUUUGGGAGAGGGAUGCAGAAUUCCAGGUGUAGCGGUGAAAUGCGUAGAUAUCUGGAGGAAUACCGGUGGCGAAGGCGGCAUCCUGGACCGGCAUUGACGCUGAGGAGCGAAAGCCAGGGGAGCAAACGGG